UAACCUUUUAUUCAUCAAAUAUAUUAGACAGCAGAACUGUUUCCAACACUCAUAAUAAAUCAGAAUAUUAGAAUGAUUUCUAAAUGAUCAUGUGAUAGACUGGAUGUUACAUGUGACACUGAAGGCUGGAGUAAUGAUGCUGAAAAUUCAGCUUUGCAUCACAGGAAUAAAUUAUUUUUUUUAAGUAUAUUCAAAUAGAAAACUAUUAUUUUAAGUUGUAAUAAUAUUUCACAAUAUUACUGUUUUUUCUGUAUUUUUGAUCAAAUAAAUGCAGGCUUGAUGAGCAGAAGAGACUUCUUUCAAAAACAUUAAAAAUAGUAAUGUUUCCAAACUUUUGACCUGUACUGUGUAUAUAUAUAUAUAUAUAUAGGCAAGUUUUUUUUAUCAUCGCUUAUUGUCCUAUAACAGUCCUAUAACAACAAAAAACCUUUAGAAUUCAGUAUUCAUAGCGAAACAUAUACUUUCAUGCUUUAUUAUAAUCUGACUGUUUUUUGUAUAAUAGAUUAAAUAAAAGGAUAAAUGCACUUUAACAAAGAUCCAAAUAAUGUCUUUACGUCAUACAUAGAUAUGUUAUUAUUAUUGUUACUAUUCUAAUGUUAUUAAUGUUAUCGUUAUUAUUUUUAUUACAAUUAUAAUUACAAAUAAUAAAUCACCUCAUAAACGAGUAGCAAUUAAAUUAAAAAAGAAAAGAAAAGAAAAGAAAAAGUGAACUGGCCGUGUUGCCGCGCAACGCGGUGACAUCAUCCAAACGCGGAAGUGGAAUGUUACAGUAACAGUUACAGUGAAAGUGAAAACACGAGGAACUCAAGGCAUGUUGUUACCAUCCAAGAAUCAAAUAGAGUUCAGCAGCCUUGCCAGAUAUCUAGAUGGAGAAUUCUGGGAGAUUAAAGAUGCUUUUCGUGACGCGAUUUCAGUCCAGCAGAUCAGUGCUGUGUGUGGACUGUACGGAGCUGCUGGCAGUCCGGAGCAGAAGAUGAAGUGGCGUCUCCCUGUUUCAGUAAGUUUCCUCGAACACGCUCAAUAGAUGUGCACAAAAAUGUUUGCAAUUCAAAGUCCUGAUCAUUUUGGUCUCCAUGAGUUUGCACGUGUGUCGUUUGUUUAUUUCAAGAAUGACUGAAAUUAUUGAUUUAAAGAUAUAGUUUACCCAACAAUUUAAUUUGGCUGAAAGCUUCCUCACCCUCAGGCCAUAUAAGAGGCAGAUGAGUUUGGAGAAAUGUAGCAUUGCAUCACUUGCUCACCAAUGGAUGCUCUGCAGUGAAUGGGUGCCGUCAGAAUGAGAGUCCAAACAGCUGAUAAAAACAUCACAAUAAUCCACACCACUCCAGUCCAUCAGUUAAUGUCUUGUAAAGUGAAAAGGUGCGUUUGUAAGAAACAAAUCCAUCAUUAAGAUGUUUUAACAUCAAUCUGUUGCUUCCGGCUAGAAUACAAGUCCUGGAUGCAUAAUUUUGCAUAAUUUUGAUGUUUUUAUCAGCUGUUUGGACUCUCAUUCUGACGGCACCCAUUCACUGCAGAGCAUCC
ensembl:lncRNA